rnacentral:rRNA from 1 species
AGAAACCUGCCGUAUACUGGGGGAUAACACUUAGAAAUAGGUGCUAAUACCGCAUAAGCGCACAGCUUCGCAUGAAGCGGUGUGAAAAACUCUGGUGGUAUACGAUGGUUCCGCGUCUGAUUAGCUAGUUGGUGGGGUAAUGGCCUACCAAGGCAACGAUCAGUAGCCGGCCUGAGAGGGUGAACGGCCACAUUGGGACUGAGACACGGCCCAAACUCCUACGGGAGGCAGCAG